ACGUAGGGUGCAAGCGUUGUCCGGAAUUAUUGGGCGUAAAGGGCGCGUAGGCGGCCUUGUAAGUCCGAUGUGAAAUUCCUGCUUUUAAGGUAGGAAUUGCAUUGGAAACUGUAGGGCUUGAGUGCAGGAGAGGUAAGCGGAAUUCCCGGUGUAGCGGUGAAAUGCGUAGAGAUCGCGAGGAACACCAGUGGCGAAGGCGGCUAACUGGACUGUAACUGACGCUGAGACGCGAAAGUGUGGGGAGCAAACAG
rnacentral:rRNA from 1 species